GCAAGUGUGGUGCAGUGUUUUAAGUGUUAGACUAUGACUCUAGAGAUCAGGGUUCAAUUCCCUGCUUGGCCA